rnacentral:rRNA from 1 species
GAUAUGCCUGUCAGUGGAUGGCUCGGUUCGAGUGCCGAAGAAGGGCGUGCCAAGCUGCGAUAAGCUCCGGGAAGACGCAUGGAGUCUACGAUCCGGAGAUCCCCUAAUGGGACAUCCCAGCACUUCGGUGUUGAUCCGUAAGGAUCGGGAACCCCCCGAACUGAAACAUCUCAGUAGGGGGAGGAGAAGAAAUCAACCGAGAUGUCGUUAGUAGAGGCGAUCGAACACGACAGAGUUCAAACCGAAUCCCGAAAGGGAGAUGUGGUGUGGUAAGCCUGCCGUCUGGAUGCCAGGGCGAAGUAGAAGUCCUCUGGAACGAGGCACCAUAGAGGGUGAUAGUCCCGUAUGCGUAAGCUGAGGCAUCCUGGCAGUGUCUUGAGUACCGCGGGUUGGAAUUCUCGCGGGAAUCUGGGGGUCAUCAACCUCCAAAACUAAAUACUACUCGAAACCGAUAGCGCAUUAGUAGCGUGAGCGAAGGCUGAAAAGUAUCCCCGUAAAGGUGGUGAAAAGUGCCUGAAACUGAUAGGUGAUGGUGAGUUACGGCGCGAAAGGAUCUUCCACGUGAAGGAACCCGUCGCGAGGCGGUAGUACGGGCGUGGUUGCCGGUGUCGUAACGUACGUUUUGAAGAACGGGCCAGAGAGUUUAUUCUGCAGGCGAAGGUUAACCCAAAAGGGGAGCCGGAGGGAAACCAACAGGUCCGUAGCCUUCGGGCAUGGGACGGCGUAUUAAAAGUGCGCGGAGUCUGCAGGAUAAGACCCGAAGCCCAGCGAUCUAUGCGCGGGCAGGUUGAAGCGCGCCGAAAGGCGCGUGGAGGACCGCAAACGGUAUUGAUAUGCAAAUCAUUCGCGUGACCUGCGUAUAGGAGUGAAAGAUUAAUCGAGCUGGGCAUCAGCUGGUUCCUCCCGAAACAUGCCGUAGCAUGACCUGGCCGGAGAUAGACGGUGAGGUAGAGCACUGAUUGGGGGAGCUGGGGGAGAAAUCCCUCACCCUCCUGUCAAACUCCAAAUUCCCCGUCGUCGAAGAUGGCUGGCAGUCCGGGCUACGGGGUAAGCUCGUAGUCCGUGAGGGAGACAACCCAGACCGUGGUUAAUGUCCCUCAAUGUAGGCUAAGUGUCAACACUGAAAGGCGUCCCAGGCCAAAGACAACUGGAAGGUCAGCUUAGAAGCAGCUAUCCUUUAAAAAGUGCGUAACAGCUUACCAGUCGAGGUUUGGGGCACUGAAAAUGGACGGGGCUAAAGCCUACUACAGAGACCACGGACCACGCGCAAGCGUGAUGUCGUAGGGAGGCGUGCUGCCUGGGCAGAAGCAGGGGCGUAAGCUCCUGUGGACCGGGUAGUAAUGAGAAUUCUGGCAUUAGUAGAAGCAAAGUUGGGUGAGAAUCCCAACCGCCGGAGGGGCCAGGUUUCCUCGGCAAUGUUCGUCAGCCGAGGGUUAGUCGGUCCUAAGGUGUGUCGUAAUUCGACCACAUCGAAAGGGAAACAGGUUAAUAUUCCUGUACCAUUCAUCCGCAGCGGUUUACCGCCCUGACGCUUCGGGAUAUGCCCGGCAGGGCCGUCGCCCUGUCCAAGCGAUCAAACCCGUGGAGUACCGUAAUGGUGAGAAGCGGGUGAAGGCGUGAUGGAGCAAUCAGGCAAAUUCCUGGAGCCCGUGAAAAGGGGGAUGAAUGACCGUACCGAGAUCUGACACAGGUGCCCCUAGCUGAAAAGGCUAAGGCGUGUCGGUGUAAUCGUGUUAAGGGAACUCGGCAAAUUAGCCCCGUAACUUCGGGAGAAGGGGUGCCUGCCUGGCGAUCAGGCAGGUCGCAGUGACCAGGGGGCUCUGACUGUCUAAUAACAACAUAGGUGACUGCAACUCGGAAACGAUUAGUAUAGUCACUGAUUCCUGCCCAGUGCGAGUAUCUGAACACCGGGUUCAACCGGACGAAGGACUCGUAAACGGCGGGGGUAACUAUGACCCUCUUAAGGUAGCGUAGUACCUUGUCGCUUAAUUGGCGACUUGCAUGAAUGGAUUAACGAGAGCCCUACUGUCCCUAACACGAAACCGUUGAACAUUUUAUCCUAGUGCAGAGACUAGGGACUCCAGAUGGGAAGUGAAGACCCCGUGGAGCUUUACUGCAGCCUGCCGUUGGGUUGUGGUUCUGAUUGUAGAGCAUAGGUAGGAGACGUCGAAGCUCGGGCGCCAGUCCGAGUGGAGUCAACACUGGAAUACUACCCUUUCAGAGCCGCUGCCCUAACUCUGAGAAGAGGACCUCGGUAGGUGGGCAGUUUGGGUGGGGCGCCACGCCCUUGAAAAGAUAUCAAGGGCGCACAAAGGUUGACUCAAGUGGGUCGGAAACCCACUGAAGAGUGUAAGAGCAUAAGUCAGCCUGACGUUAUUCAGCACAGUAUUGGAUGACGAGACGAAAGUCGGUUCUAGCGAACUUUUGUGAUUCCCGCUUGGUGCGGGCCAAAAAUGACAGAAAAGUUACCUCGGGGAUAAUUGAGUUGUUGCCGGCAAGAGCACAUAUCGACCCGGCGGCUUGCUACCUCGAUGUCGGUUCUUUCCAUCCUGGCCGUGCAGCAGCGGCCAAGGGUGAGGUUGUUCGCCUAUUAAAGGGGAUCGUGAGCUGGGUUUAGACCGUCGUGAGACAGGUCGGUUACUAUCUAUCUGGAGUGUCAGGAGUCUGAAGGUAAGACGGAAAUAGUACGAGAGGAACUUUCCGUCGUCGCCUCUGGUGUAUCGGUUGUCCGACCGGGCAAUGCCGAGCAGCUACGCGAUAAGGGAUAAAGGCUGAAAGCAUCUAAGCUUGAAACCCGACCUGAAAAGAGACUCCGUUGAGGACACGGGUAAAAGACCCGCUUGAUAGGCCUGGGAUGUAAGCAUGAAGGCAACGACAUGUUCAGUCCGCAGGUACUAACGUCCGAUGCCGUCCACU